AGUCGAGCGAACGGACGAGAAGCUUGCUUCUCUGAUGUUAGCGGCGGACGGGUGAGUAACACGUGGAUAACCUACCUAUAAGACUGGGAUAACUUCGGGAAACCGGAGCUAAUACCGGAUAAUAUUUUGAACCGCAUGGUUCAAAAGUGAAAGACGGUCUUGCUGUCACUUAUAGAUGGAUCCGCGCUGCAUUAGCUAGUUGGUAAGGUAAUGGCUUACCAAGGCAACGAUGCAUAGCCGACCUGAGAGGGUGAUCGGCCACACUGGAACUGAGACACGGUCCAGACUCCUACGGGAGGCAGCAGUAGGGAAUCUUCCGCAAUGGGCGAAAGCCUGACGGAGCAACGCCGCGUGAGUGAUGAAGGUCUUCGGAUCGUAAAACUCUGUUAUUAGGGAAGAACAUAUGUGUAAGUAACUGUGCACAUCUUGACGGUACCUAAUCAGAAAGCCACGGCUAACUACGUGCCAGCAGCCGCGGUAAUACGUAGGUGGCAAGCGUUAUCCGGAAUUAUUGGGCGUAAAGCGCGCGUAGGCGGUUUUUUAAGUCUGAUGUGAAAGCCCACGGCUCAACCGUGGAGGGUCAUUGGAAACUGGAAAACUUGAGUGCAGAAGAGGAAAGUGGAAUUCCAUGUGUAGCGGUGAAAUGCGCAGAGAUAUGGAGGAACACCAGUGGCGAAGGCGACUUUCUGGUCUGUAACUGACGCUGAUGUGCGAAAGCGUGGGGAUCAAACAGGAUU
rnacentral:rRNA from 1 species